UGCGUAGGCGGAUUAAUAAGUCAGUGGUGAAAUCUCUCGGCUCAACCGGGAGACUGCCAUUGAUACUGUUAAUCUUGAGUUCGGUUGAGGUAGGCGGAAUGUGUAAUGUAGCGGUGAAAUGCUUAGAUAUUACACAGAACACCAAUUGCGUAGGCAGCUUACUAGACCGACACUGACGCUGAGGCACGAAAGCGUGGGUAGCGAACAGGAUUAGAUACCCUGGUAGUCC
rnacentral:rRNA from 1 species